UAUGCUAUUCCCAACUCGUUUUUCCGAACUUCGGUUGUCUUCUUCAAUCCUCAAUCGGACCACAAGUUCUUCAAUGUUCAUCUCCUUGCGCUUGUGCUUGAGAUAGUUUUUGAAGUCCCUCCACAUGGGUGGAAGUUUCUCGAUAAUUGCAGCCACUUGAAAUGAUUCGCUCACGGACAUAUUUUCCGCAUGAAUGUCAUGGAGUAUGACUUGCAAUUCUUGCACUUGACUGAUGACGGUCUUCGAAUCUACCAUUUUGUAGUCCAAGAAUUUUCCCA
rnacentral:lncRNA from 1 species